CUAUUAUUAAGAUUCAUCCUGUAGAAAUAUUUAUAAUACUUUGUCAAGUUAAUAGUUUUUAUUGUAUGUUAACUUUACAGGGUUACAUUUUUAACUUUUUAUGAGCUCCACAUAUCUGUCAUUUACUGUUUGUAUGUAAUAUUUAAUUAACUUAAAGAAAUGUGUUUUCAGAAAAAAGGUAUACUGAUAAAACGGGUUAACAGCCUCUGGUCCGAAAAUGUUUGAAUAAUUUGGGAUUAUGUAUAUCGCUGCAAUUAUAUCAAGCCGUAUUGUGCGUUAUGCUGUCUUGGAAUCGGGGCCGUGAGUUCAGCAGAAUACCCAUGUAAUUUAGUGGAUUGUCGAACGACUGGAUGUAGAAUACAACAAGUCUUCUGUGUUACUAGUCCCUGUUAUCCAGUUGCAGUAUGUAGUGG